rnacentral:lncRNA from 1 species
AUUUGCUAACUUUAAAAAAUCUUCUCCUCUGAAACUACUGAAUGGAUUUGGAUGAAACUUAGCAUGAUAGUUCCUUAGAUUAUCCUGCACAAAGUGUGUGCUCCGAUUUUUGAUCCGUCAAAAAACAUGGCCGCCCUUACUUUAAAUAGAACAUAGGGGUCAAAUGCAGUUUUUGGCUUAUAUCUCAAAAACGAAAGCAUUUAGAGCAAAUCUGACAUGGGGGUAAAAAUGUUCAUUAGGUCAAGAUCUAUCAGCCCUGAAAUUUUCAGACGAAUCAAACAAACCAUUGUUGGGUUGCUGCCACUUAAUUGGUAAUUUUAAGGAAAUUUUGCAGUUUUUGGUCAUUAUCUUGAAUAUCAUUAUAGAUAAAGAUAAACUGUAAACAGCAAAAAUGAUCAGCAAAGUAUAUAUAUUUGUAAUAUUGAAGAAUUGUUAGCUGUACAUGUUUGCCUGGCAUGGUUCAAUAUGUUCAAUAAGGCAUUGUUUACCAGAUGAGCGAUUCAGGCUCUUGAGAGCCUCUUGUUU